CUACGGGCUGCUCCAGUGGGGAAUAUUGCACAAUGGGCGCAAGCCUGAUGCAGCCAUGCCGCGUGUAUGAAGAAGGCCUUCGGGUUGUAAAGUACUUUCAGCGGGGAGGAAGGGAGUAAAGUUAAUACCUUUGCUCAUUGACGUUACCCGCAGAAGAAGCACCGGCUAACUCCGUGCCAGCAGCCGCGGUAAUACGGAGGGUGCAAGCGUUAAUCGGAAUUACUGGGCGUAAAGCGCACGCAGGCGGUUUGUUAAGUCAGAUGGGAAAUCCCCGGGCUCAACCUGGGAACUGCAUCUGAUACUGGCAAGCUUGAGUCUCGUAGAGGGGGGUAGAAUUCCAGGUGUAGCGGUGAAAUGCGUAGAGAUCUGGAGGAAUACCGGUGGCGAAGGCGGCCCCCUGGACGAAGACUGACGCUCAGGUGCGAAAGCGUGGGGAGCAAACAGGAUUAGAUACCCCCGUAGUC
rnacentral:rRNA from 1 species